AUGGCGCUCAAAGAUCAAUACCUAGGACCUGAGGAAGCAGAUAGAAUCUCACCGUUGGAGCUGCUGGUGCUCCUGGCCGCCCUCCUGGCCACGAGCUACGUGGUCAGCAUUGACGCGCAUGCAGAGGAUGCUUCUUCGUUUGAGCGGGUCACCUUGGGCACCAAGAUGGGCCUCAUCUUCGCGGUGGCCGAGGGCGGCUUCCUGGACAUCGACGUGGAGAUUACAGGACCUGAUAAUAGAGGAAUUUAUAAAGGAGGCCGGGAGUCCAGUGGGAAGCACACAUUUGCUGCUCACAUGGAUGGAACACACAAGUUUUGUUUUAGCAGUAGGAUGUCUACCAUGACUCCAAAGAUAGUGAUGUUCACCAAUGAUAUCGGGGAAGCCCCCAAAGGACAAGAUAUGGAAACAGAAGCUCACCAGAACAAGCUAGAAGAAAUGAUUAAUGAGCUCGCAGUGGCGAUGACAGCUGUGAAGCAUGAACAGGAAUACAUGGAAGUUCAAGAGAGAAUACACAGAGCAAUCAAUGACAACACAAACAGCAGAGUGGUCCUUUGGUCCUUCUUUGAAGCUCUUGUUCUAGUUGCCAUGACAUUGGGACAGAUCUACUACCUGAAGAGAUUCUUCGAAGUCCGGAGGGUUGUUUAAAAGCCUUUUCCCCAUAAUCCCAAAUUCAUAAUUCACUGUUUACCAAACAUCUUGGUCAUAAUAAUGUCA